UACGAAGGGGGCUAGCGUUGCUCGGAAUCACUGGGCGUAAAGGGUGCGUAGGCGGGUCUUUAAGUCAGGGGUGAAAUCCUGGAGCUCAACUCCAGAACUGCCUUUGAUACUGAGGAUCUUGAGUUCGGGAGAGGUGAGUGGAACUGCGAGUGUAGAGGUGAAAUUCGUAGAUAUUCGCAAGAACACCAGUGGCGAAGGCGGCUCACUGGCCCGAUACUGACGCUGAGGUGCGGAAAGCGUGGGGAGCAACAGG
rnacentral:rRNA from 1 species